AGUGUAGAGGUGGCUAAGAUGCUGUGAUCUGUCUCAGGUAAUUUAUCCACCUCUCACAAU
ensembl:miRNA mdo-mir-7398t mdo-mir-7398t